AUGAUUGAUGCAAAUUUCAGAAUCAUGUCUUGGAAUGUGAGGGGCCUAAACUCACCGGCAAAGCGCACGGCCGUCUGCGAGGUUGCAGGCGCAAACAAAGUUGCGAUCCUUAACCUGCAGGAAAUGAAGAUCGAGUCAUGGUCCAUGCAGCUAGCAGUAGAGGUGGGAGGGCCUUCGCUUCAGGGCUGCAUUGUUCUUCCUGCGAUAGGAACUAGAGGAGGUGUUGCCAUCUUCUGGGAUAAGAACCUGGUCAACGUCACUAUGCAUUCGAUCGCUAGUUUCUCCAUUAUGGUUAGAGUAGAGAUCAUCGGCAGCAACGAGUUCUUUUGGAUGACUACUGUCUACGGUCCUUCAGAGGAUGACCAAAAAGAAAAUUUCCUAACUGAACUAGCCAGCGUAGCACCUCCCCCCUCUGAACCUUGGAUGCUCAACGGGGAUUUUAACAUGAUCUAUCAGGCGUGGGACAAAAACAACGGCAGGAUUAACAGAAGGAUGAUCGGCCGCUUUGAACAGGCGAUUGAUCUUGCUGGAGUCAGAGAGGUCAAAUGCAGGAAUAGACGUUUUACGUGGAGUAGCGAAAGAGAAUCGCCAACCUUAUGCAGCAUCGACAAGGUUUUUUGUAACCUGGCAUGGGAAGACCUAUUUCCGGAUGUGAUGCUCAUGGCGGCAUCAACCUCUUUCUCUAAUCAAUGUCCUCUAUUAUUAGCUAAUGGGACCCCCCCCCCCGAUCAGGAAGGCUAG
rnacentral:rRNA from 1 species